GGACCGGUGGUGUAGUGGUAACACGCUGCGUUCGAAUGUGAAGGGGGUGGUUCGAUUCCUUUCUGGAUCA
rnacentral:tRNA from 1 species